ACCUCCUGUAUUUUCUUUGGAUUGGCCAUGGAAUGCUGUCGCAUUCCGCGGUUAGUGCCACCUUAUUCAAAGAAGCCUAACCGCGGUG
ensembl:ncRNA T06D10.7 ncRNA